CAACCAGCCUAAGACUUCAUCACCAUCCCCAGUGGCCAUGGUGCCUCUCAGCUCCCAGACUCCCCCAGGCCUCCAAAAAUAGAGACUGACCCUUGGAAGAGGAGGGGCAGGAAAAAGAACCUCUAAUCCAUUCUUACUGACCCUCUUCCCCAGAGAGGAGUAGCAGACUCUCACCGCCCAUAAGCAGCAGCCUUAAGGUAGGAGGCAGGGGGGAAACCUUAGAAGAAGAAGAAGAAGAAGAAGAGGAAAGCAGGAGAAGAAAUGGAAAGAAACCCUGAUGAAAGUCACUGGGGGUGACUAAAGCAAAGAAGGAAAAGCUAAGUCCUCACGCAUCCUCCUCAGGAGAUACAGGGUCCUUGGAUGGCGGGCAGAGCUUUUGUGUGAUCCUCAGGCUCAGCCCUGGUGCUUAUCAGUGGAGCCUGAUCCAGCUGGAACACCAGUGAGAGGCUGGAGGAUUAUGUAAGUGGAAGAUGGAUGUGCCCCCUGUGAGUAGUAUGGAGGUCAACAAGUCACUUUGUUCAGCUUUAA